AUUGAACGCUGGCGGCAGGCCUAACACAUGCAAGUCGAGCGGAUGAAGGGAGCUUGCUCCUGGAUUCAGCGGCGGACGGGUGAGUAAUGCCUAGGAAUCUGCCUGGUAGUGGGGGAUAACGUCCGGAAACGGGCGCUAAUACCGCAUACGUCCUGAGGGAGAAAGUGGGGGAUCUUCGGACCUCACGCUAUCAGAUGAGCCUAGGUCGGAUUAGCUAGUUGGUGGGGUAAAGGCCUACCAAGGCGACGAUCCGUAACUGGUCUGAGAGGAUGAUCAGUCACACUGGAACUGAGACACGGUCCAGACUCCUACGGGAGGCAGCAGUGGGGAAUAUUGGACAAUGGGCGAAAGCCUGAUCCAGCCAUGCCGCGUGUGUGAAGAAGGUCUUCGGAUUGUAAAGCAUUUUAAGUGGGGAGGAAGGGCAGUAAGUUAAUACCUUGCUGUUUUGACGUUACCAACAGAAUAAGCACCGGCUAACUUCGUG
rnacentral:rRNA from 1 species